rnacentral:rRNA from 1 species
CAGUUGGAAACGACUGCUAAUACCGCAUACGAUCUGACCUCGGCAUCGGGAUGGAUGAAAGGUGGCCUCUAUUUAUAAGCUAUCACUGAAGGAGGGGAUUGCGUCUGAUUAGCUAGUUGGAGGGGUAACGGGCCCACCAAGGCGAUGAUCAGUAGCCGGUCUGAGAGGAUGAACGGCCACAUUGGGACUGAGACACGGCCCAGACUCCUACGGGAGGCAGCAUG